CAGCCGCCGCGGUAACACGGAGGGAGCUAGCGUUGUUCGGAAUUACUGGGCGUAAAGCGCGCGUAGGCGGUUACUCAAGUCAGAGGUGAAGGCCCGGGGCUCAACCCCGGAACUGCCUUUGAAACUAGGUGACUAGAAUCUUGGAGAGGUCAGUGGAAUUCCGAGUGUAGAGGUGAAAUUCGUAGAUAUUCGGAAGAACACCAGUGGCGAAGGCGGCUCACUGGACGACUGUUGACGCUGAGGUGCGAAAGCGUGGGGAGCAAACAGGAUUAGAUACCCGCGUAGUCCCUGUCUCUUAUAA
rnacentral:rRNA from 1 species